UGCCCUGGCUCAGUUAUCACAGUGCUGAUGCUGUCCACUCUAAAGGUACAGUACUGUGAUAACUGAAGGAUGGCA
rnacentral:pre_miRNA from 1 species